AGCAGCUCAGGUGAAAACAGCAGCUCAGGUGAAAACAGCAGCCCAGCUGAAAACAGCAGCCCAACUGAAAACAGCAGCCCAACUGAAAACAGCAGCUCAGGUGAAAACAGCAGCUCAGCUGAAAACAGCAGCCCAACUGAAAACAGCAGCUCAGCUGAAAACAGCAGCUCAGGUGAAAACAGCAGCUCAGCUGAAAACAGCAGCUCAGCUGAAAACAGCAGCCCAACUGAAAACAGCAGCUCAGCUGAAAACAGCAGCUCAGGAUCUAUACUUGACAAAUAUGUGCUUGGAGAGAAGCUGGGACAGGGAAACGGUGGCACUGUCUAUCUGGCUACACGGAAAUCUGACGGCCAGAAGGUUGCCAUAAAAGUUGUGAAUAAGGACUUAAGGAGUUUCGGAUACUGGUACACUAUGAAUGGACGUACUAUCCCGGAAGCAUAUCAUAUGAUGGUCCUCAAGGAACCUCCGCUCUGCCCGCACAUCAUUGAGCUGUACGAGUACGCCAUGGAGGGAAGGAAUAACUACCUGGUCAUGGAGUACGCGUCCUCGUACAUAACCUUGGAUAAAUUCAUCAGGAAGAACAAUGGCCUCCUGAGUGAGAGUGUUGCGCGGCAGCUGAUCAUGCAGCUCAUUAUCGCAACACAGCGCUGCCUUGAGCAUGGCAUAGAACAUGAGUCCAUACAUAAAGAAAACAUCCUGGUCAAUCCAAAGACCCUGCAGCUCAAGCUGAUUGAUUUUGGCAACAGUUAUUAUACUCAAAAAGGCUACUGGAGAUCCCCCUAUCUUGGAGUAACGAGAUACCGUCUACAGGAGGGGGAACCCUACAGAUCCAUUCGUUUUGCUGUUGAUUCACAUGUCAUGGCUGUUUUACUAAUGCUGUCCUAUAUGGUCAAUGGAUAUUUCCCUUACUCCAGAUAUAAACGUCCACGAUUUCACCCCAGAUUGUCAGCAGAAUGCAAGGAUCUUCUUCGGUGGAUAAUCAGUUACCACCCUCGAACAGGACCUGUUUUAGAGGAGAUUAUAGAGCACAAGUGGUUCAGCAUGACGUAGAGCCCAUCAGCAGCAGGAAACAGGUUUUAUACUUCCAUUUACGUCAGAUUGUUUUGCUGUUUUCCGCUUCUGCUUCCCAAAUUCUGCACUUCCUCCUGCGAGUGUUGCAGUCAGAGCUGCAUGUAAAUGAGGGCCGGUUGAAGCGUCCCUAUUGGUCCACCAGCUCUAGACCGACAGC
ensembl:processed_transcript